rnacentral:rRNA from 1 species
GGUGAACGCUGGCGGCGUGCUUAAGACGUGCAAGUCGAACGGGCUCUUCGGAGCUAGUGGCGCACGGGUGAGUAACGCGUAACUGACCUACCCCAAAGUCGCGGAUAACGAUUCGAAAGAAUCGCUAAUACGUGAUGUGCUGUCAGAUUGUGUUCUGCCAGUAAAGAUUGAUUGCUUUGGGAUGGGGUUGCGUUCCAUCAGCUAGUUGGUGGGGUAAAGGCCCACCAAGGCGACGACGGAUAGCCGGCCUGAGAGGGUGGCCGGCCACAGGGGCACUGAGACACGGGUCCCACUCCUACGGGAGGCAGCAGUUAGGAAUCUUCCACAAUGGGCGAAAGCCUGAUGGAGCGACGCCGCGUGAGGGAUGAAGGUCUUCGGAUCGUAAACCUCUGAAUCAGGGACGAAAGACACUUCGGUGGGAUGACGGUACCUGAGUAAUAGCACCGGCUAACUCCGUGCCAGCCGCCGCAGUAAUAC